AUACUUACCUGGCAGGGGUGAUACCAUGAUCACGAAGGUGGACCCUUGCGAAUUCCCCAAAUGUGGGACUCUCCACUGCAUAAUUUCUGGUACUGAGGGACUGCGUUUGCGCUCUCCCCUG
ensembl:snRNA U1 U1 spliceosomal RNA